AGUGGGAUAGUUGGAUCAUAUAGUGAUUUCAUAGCUUUUUUUAAGCAAUCUUAAUACUGCUUUCCAGAGUGGUUGCACUAAUUUGCAGUCCCACCAACAAU
rnacentral:pre_miRNA from 1 species